rnacentral:tmRNA from 1 species
GGGGCUGUUACGGAUUCGACAGGCACUGCCUGCUCAUGAACUGCAACUGCUGCUGGCACCAGCGAAAUCUGCCGCAGAAAUAUAACUGCAAAAAAUAAUACACAAACUUUCGCAUACGCUGCCUAAACACCAGCCUGCGUGCCUGAUUAUUGCUUUCUGAUGACAAUUUGACGGUCUAAACUUUUAAUCAGAUACAAUGUUAUGUCGUCUUAGCCUAACAUAAGAGAAUCAUGAGAAUCGCAAAGGAGUGCUGUUUGACGCUUUCUUUAUUCCUUUGUUAAAUUUGAGAAAGUGCUAUGGUUGUAGAUGUUGAUGUAGCAAGGUGUUUGGACAGGGGUUCAAUUCCCCUCAGCUCCAUUG